rnacentral:rRNA from 1 species
GUCCCUAUCUGCCGUGGGCGUUGGAAGAUUGAAGGGGGCUGCUCCUAGUACGAGAGGACCGGAGUGGACGAACCGCUGGUGUUCGGGUUGUCAUGCCAAUGGCAUUGCCCGGUAGCUAAGUUCGGAAUUGAUAAGCGCUGAAAGCAUCUAAGCGCGAAGCGAGCCCUGAGAUGAGUCUUCCCUGGCACUUUAAGUGUCCUAAAGGGUUGUUCGAGACUAGAACGUUGAUAGGUUGGGUGUGUAAGCGCUGCGAGGCGUUGAGCUAACCAAUACUAAUUGCCCGUGAGGCUUAACCAUACAACACCGAAGGGGUUUUGU